rnacentral:lncRNA from 1 species
UUAGUGAUGAGGAAAUCCAACAUUCCAACAUCCAAAACCUAGACACACUUGGGAUACCGGUAAAGGGCCAGCCCGAAGGCCCCUGGUAGAUCCGGGAGAGGAGCGGGGCUGGACGUGGACAAAGAUGGGGAGUUCUGGGCGGAGUUGGGAGCCCAGGUGCAAAGGAAACUGCAUUUCCUGAGAUUCUGGAGCUGCUUCCCCUUUAUCAAAGGAGCCACGUCAUUUCCCUUACCACUGGCAGAAGGAACAUGGCUGUCUGAGGUGCCUGUCAGCAUAGGGAAGCGCACACUAGCCUCCAGCUCUGGGCUCUUCCGGAUGCCUCUGACUGUUCCCUCCCUCAUAGCUACAAUAAAGAUCAUGGUGGCACAUGCUUUUAAUAACCUGCGCUCAGGAGCCAGAGGCAAGAGGAUCUCUUGUGAGUUUGAGGACAGCCUGAACUAUACAGCAAGCUCCAAGACCAACAGGACAGCAUAAAGAGACCCCGUUUCAAAAAACCAGUCGGGGCUGGAGAGAUGCUGGAGAGAUGGCACAGCAGUUAAGAGCACUGGCUGCUCUUCCAGAGGUUCUGAGUUCACAGGAAGAAAAAAAUUAUGC